rnacentral:tRNA from 1 species
GGGCCCUUAGCUCAGUCGGUUAGAGCGUCUGACUCAUAAUCAGGUGGUCGUUGGUUCGAACCCAACAGGGCCCA